ACACCACAAGAUUCUUGUUUCCGCUAAAAAUUCCUGGAUACGAGAUCUAUACAACAGGAAUACGGGGUGGACCAACACUAGAUAAUAUCAACCCCACUCCCCUCGCUUUCCCACAUCUAGCUCUCUUCCCCCCUCUCUCGUCUGUUCAUGCUGCUCACUGGUCGCCGACGCCGGUCGCUCCCAGCUAUUGCCGCCACAAAUCUGGCUUCUCCACCAACGCCCGACACUGGAUAUGGCUUUCGCCGCGGCACCUACCACGGCUGGACAUACACAAGACCGGCGGCAGUGAGGCUAUACCACGAGGCUGGCGAGGAGAGAUGCCAGAUCACGUGGGCAGAAGACGGAUCCACGGAUUUGGGUGUUGGGGAGACCUGCUCUGGCAUUUGUCGACCAUAACGAGAAUCAACCACGACUGGUCAACGAGGUGGAUCGUCGCCGGAUCCGACGAGUCCAAGCAUGACCGGCACUAGAUCUGGUAAGUCAUGAAGCCCACGACCAGAUGCAUCCAACCCCACCCCCAACUCCCCCUACUUGUGUGGUAUAUGGAAUUGUUAUACUCGAUGGUACUGAAGGUGUCAAAUAGAACUCGAUGUGAAGAUUUGAAGCAGAGUGUGUUAUAUAUGUGAUGUUGUUGUUCUGAAAUUGAAGUAGAUAUGUAGAUAUGUGGGACUGCUAUAUCUGAUGUGAAAUAUAGAUUUGUGAAACUAAUACCCAUGAUGUGAAACAAAAUUGUAAUUGGAAAGUAUUUUUGUGUUGUAAUGCUUUUUUCCAGAAAUUGGAACGCAUGUUUAUGUU